UUAUUACAUCUCCAGGCUUCUUCGAUUUUAUUUUUGGAGACGCGCCUGGGUGCCUAUAUCUGCGUCUCCAAAAAUAAAAUCGAAGAAGCCUGGAGAUGUAAU
rnacentral:pre_miRNA from 1 species